UACGGAGGGAGCUAGCGUUGUUCGGAAUUACUGGGCGUAAAGCGCACGUAGGCGGCGACUCAAGUCAGAGGUGAAAGCCCGGGGCUCAACCCCGGAACUGCCUUUGAAACUAGGUUGCUAGAAUCUUGGAGAGGCGAGUGGAAUUCCGAGUGUAGAGGUGAAAUUCGUAGAUAUCAGGAAGAACACCAACGGCGAAGGCAGCUCGCUAGGACGGUACUGACGCUGAGACGCGAAAGCGUGGGGAGCGAACAGG
rnacentral:rRNA from 1 species